CCGAAUUCGUCGACAACAGAGUUUGAUCCUGGCUCAGGACGAACGCUGGCGGCGUGCUUAACACAUGCAAGUCGAACGAUGAACCACUUCGGUGGGGAUUAGUGGCGAACGGGUGAGUAACACGUGGGCAAUCUGCCCUGCACUCUGGGACAAGCCCUGGAAACGGGGUCUAAUACCGGAUACUGAUCUACUUGGGCAUCCAAGUGGUUCGAAAGCUCCGGCGGUGCAGGAUGAGCCCGCGGCCUAUCAGCUUGUUGGUGAGGUAACGGCUCACCAAGGCGACGACGGGUAGCCGGCCUGAGAGGGCGACCGGCCACACUGGGACUGAGACACGGCCCAGACUCCUACGGGAGGCAGCAGUGGGGAAUAUUGCACAAUGGGCGAAAGCCUGAUGCAGCGACGCCGCGUGAGGGAUGACGGCCUUCGGGUUGUAAACCUCUUUCAGCAGGGAAGAAGCGAAAGUGACGGUACCUGCAGAAGAAGCGCCGGCUAACUACGUGCCAGCAGCCGCGGUAAUACGUAGGGCGCAAGCGUUGUCCGGAAUUAUUGGGCGUAAAGAGCUCGUAGGCGGCUUGUCGCGUCGGUUGUGAAAGCCCGGGGCUUAACCCCGGGUCUGCAGUCGAUACGGGCAGGCUAGAGUUCGGUAGGGGAGAUCGGAAUUCCUGGUGUAGCGGUGAAAUGCGCAGAUAUCAGGAGGAACACC
rnacentral:rRNA from 1 species